rnacentral:rRNA from 1 species
UAACGCGUGGGAAUCUGCCCUGUGGUACGGAAUAACAUCGGGAAACUGGUGCUAAUACCGUAUAUCCCCUGAGGGGGAAAGAUUUAUCGCCAUGGGAGGAGCCCGCGUAGGAUUAGCUAGUUGGUGAGGUAACGGCUCACCAAGGCGACGAUCCUUAGCUGGUCUGAGAGGAUGAUCAGCCACACUGGGACUGAGAUACGGCCCAGACUCCUACGGGAGGCAGCAGUGGGGAAUAUUGGACAAUGGGGGAAACCCUGAUCCAGCCAUGCCGCGUGAGUGAUGAAGGCCUUAGGGUUGU